UACGGGGGGGGGCAAGCGUUGUUCGGAAUUACUGGGCGUAAAGUGUGCGCAGGCGGCCGAGCAAGUCGAGUGUGAAAGCCCCGAGCUUAACUUGGGAAUUGCGCUCGAAACUACGGAGCUGGAGUAUGGCAGAGGGAGGUGGAAUUCCACGUGUAGCGGUGAAAUGCGUAGAGAUGUGGAGGAACACCAAUGGCGAAGGCAGCCUCCUGGGCCAAAUACUGACACUCAUGCACGAAAGCGUGGGGAGCAAACAGG
rnacentral:rRNA from 1 species